rnacentral:rRNA from 1 species
CCAAUAGCGUAUAUUAAAGUUGUUGCAGUUAAAAAGCUCGUAGUUGAAUUUCGGGGUUAGUAGGUUGGUCAUGCCUCUGGUAUGUACUGGUCUCACUGAUUCCUCCUUCCUGAUGAACCUUAAUGCCAUUAAUUUGGUGUUUUGGGAAAUUUGGACUGUUACUUUGAAAAAAUUAGAGUGUUUAAAGCAAGCUAACGCUU